rnacentral:rRNA from 1 species
AGAGUUUGAUCCUGGCUCAGGAUGAACGCUGGCGGCGUGCCUAACACAUGCAAGUCGAGCGAUUCUCUUCGGAGAAGAGCGGCGGACGGGUGAGUAACGCGUGGGUAACCUGCCCUGUACACACGGAUAACAUACCGAAAGGUAUGCUAAUACGGGAUAACAUAAGAAAUUCGCAUGUUUUUCUUAUCAAAGCUCCGGCGGUACAGGAUGGACCCGCGUCUGAUUAGCUAGUUGGUGAGGUAACGGCUCACCAAGGCGACGAUCAGUAGCCGACCUGAGAGGGUGAUCGGCCACAUUGGAACUGAGACACGGUCCAAACUCCUACGGGAGGCAGCAGUGGGGAAUAUUGCACAAUGGGCGAAAGCCUGAUGCAGCAACGCCGCGUGAGCGAUGAAGGCCUUCGGGUCGUAAAGCUCUGUCCUCAAGGAAGAUAAUGACGGUACUUGAGGAGGAAGCCCCGGCUAACUACGUGCCAGCAGCCGCGGUAAUACGUAGGGGGCUAGCGUUAUCCGGAUUUACUGGGCGUAAAGGGUGCGUAGGCGGUCUUUUAAGUCAGGAGUGAAAGGCUACGGCUCAACCGUAGUAAGCUCUUGAAACUGGAGGACUUGAGUGCAGGAGAGGAGAGUGGAAUUCCUAGUGUAGCGGUGAAAUGCGUAGAUAUUAGGAGGAACACCAGUAGCGAAGGCGGCUCUCUGGACUGUAACUGACGCUGAGGCACGAAAGCGUGGGGAGCAAACAGGAUUAGAUACCCUGGUAGUCCACGCCGUAAACGAUGAGUACUAGCUGUCGGAGGUUACCCCCUUCGGUGGC